GAAGCUCUGAAGGCUGCUAGGAGGGCCACGGGAGCUGUGGGAGAGGGUGAGGCUGGAGCCCUGUGGGCUAACAGACAGGGCUCUAAUUCGUGACAUCGUGGCAACAAACUAUUAGAAAUGAGGCUAGACCUGGAAGCCCUGGGGGCACAGUCUGGAGGGGAGACAGACGAGAGCUAAGUAGAAUGCAGGCAAUGACGCCGUAACAGAGAUCUGCACAGCGACCAUUGCACAGCGUGGGGGCAGGCUUCUGAGAGGAGGUAACAUGCUGAAAAGACAACGUGUACAGCUGACAUUAGUACACAACCUCAUCGGAGAGAGAAGAAGCGGAGGGAAUCCCAGGAGCAGGGGCCAUCAUGCUCAAAGGUUCCAAGGUACGGAAUCCAACCACAGUGCCCACUGUGGUGAAGCCACUGCGCUGGUCCGAGAAGAAAGUGACAAACAAAAUGACAUGGAGCCCAAUUCAUCCUGAGAGCAGAACCUCGGAGCCAUGUGGUUAAGAUGGAAAUUCCACUUUUAGUCCAAGCAAAUCUUCUGAUGUAUCAAGUUUGAGGGUGAGGUUUCAUUAAAGGAAUUUAAAAUAAAAAA
ensembl:lncRNA novel transcript, antisense to NXN